UGCGAGGCAGCGUGAAGCUGGGGCCUGCUCCCCGCAGCCUCUGGAGCACAUCUCAGACCUUUCGAGACCUAUGUUUGUGGCCCCCCAGAACCCGCAACAUGGCAGAUGGGGCGCAGGCCAACCCCAAAGGGUUCAAAAAGAAGGUGCUGGAUAGAUGCUUCUCUGGGUGGAGGGGCCCAUGCUUCGGGGCCUCCUGUCCUUCAAGAACCUCCAGGUCUAGCCUGGGUAUGAAGAAGUUCUUUGCCGUGGCCAUCCUUGCCGGCAGUGGUGAGUAAAGACUCCAGAGGGCUCCUCCUCUCCCGCUCCCAGCUUGUCUCCUGUGACCUUGGGUGCCUGAGUUAUGGUUCCACUGACCGGCCUAGGUUCCUUCCUGUCCCUGGGCCUCUGCUUCCUGGCUUAGCCCAGCAGGCUGCACCCAAUUCUGGGGCUGUUUACCCCUCCAGCCACCUGUAAACAUGCAUUUAAGAGCCCCAGGGGGCAGGGUGCAGGGCUGAGCAAGCAUCAUAAAAUGCUGGUGUUGGCUUGGCAUUUGUGUACCUGAGUGUGUACUAGUGUGUGUCCAUCAGACAGGAGUUAAUGAUUUUGUGUGCAGACAGGCUCAGGCAUCUAUGUGUGUGUAGGUGUGUCUGAGCACGUGAUGAUGUCUAUGUGUGCAACACGCAUCCAUGAAGUAUGUGACAGUGUAGGCACCUGAGUGCAAGCCCAUUUGUGACUCUUUGUGUGAGUGUGUGUUAAUUGGGGUGUGUGUCUCCAGAGCGUGCUUAUGGAUGUAGGGUGCAUAGAUCUGCUGGAGGGUGUGUGUGUGUAGGGUGGGUGUCUGUGUACUGCAGAGUGCUGGGAGGUCAGGGGCUUCUUUCUGGGGGUGGUACCCAGGGCAUCAUGGCUCUGGCCAGCCGCCCCAUAGGAUUGUUGCAUGAGGUUCUUGACAGAGACCUGACCCUGCCACUCGUCCUGGCAUCACUUAUGUGGCAGGUGUCCCAGCUCCAUGGACCAUUGGCUGGGCCUCUCACUGGCCUUUCAUGCAGCCUGUUAAACCUCACCAGAACACAGCCUGGCUUGAGGAAAAGAAAUAAAUGACAAAAACCAAAAUAAGGUUCCACGUGGCCAGACGUGAGAGAGGGCUGGUUGCAUUCAGGCAAAGUGACCCGUUAUUGAGAAGACGACCGCUUGAGUUCAGCCCAAGCCACUCGUUAGGGGCAGAGCCUUUAACCCAACUGAAUGUGGACUUGGAUUCCUUUGCUUGGACUGUCGGUGUGGAUGUGGCCUUGGGCCAGGCCCCUGAUUCUCCCCUGGAUGCGUUGUGUAUGUGAGUGCAUCUGUAAUGCACGAGGGCGUGAGUGUGCAAGUGUGUGUGUGUAUCAGGUAUGUGUGGGUAUGUAUCAUGUAUGUGUGGGUGAGUGUAGGUGUAUGAGUGCAUCAGGUAGGUAUGUGUGAGUGCUGAGUUUAUCAGGUAUGUGUGGGUGAGUGUGAGUUUGAGGUGUCUGGGAAUGAGUGUGUGUGCAAGUGCAUGUAGUGUGUAGAGGAGAGUGUGAGGUGGGCAAGUGUGUGAGUGUGUGAGAUGGGUGUGUGUGUGUCCAUGUGUGUGUGUUCACUCUGUGCAUGGCCACGUAGGUUUCUUGCUCUUCUUCUUUUGCCACAUGGGAGUUGACUGUCAGGGGGUCCUGAGGACUGGAGGUGCCCUCUCCCCCAGGGUAACAUUUACAAGGCCAGGGGCAGAUGGGGAGGCGGCCAGGGCCUCGCAGUGGUUGGGUCCCUCCUCAAGGUGCUGUGUGGGCCAGGCACUCUACACACCUUCAUGAUCACACUUCAACCUCCAAGGUGUCCGGCAAGGAGGGCGUCAUGAUCCCCAUCCUCUGCUUUGGGAAUUGCGAUCCGAGAGGUUGCUGGUGUGUGCCAGGCCUCGAGCAAGGCACUGGCCUGCCUGAUCUCUCAUGGUUGAGAUUGUUACUCCCAUUUUACAGAUGGGAGAACAGAGCCCCAGGGAGUCCCAGCUGGCCUUGGUUAUUGGCCUAGGUCUGUCUGACUCCACAGUCAAUGCUCUGCCCACUAAGGCAUCCCUGUCGUUAGAGAUGUUGGACACCAUGUCUCUAGAAGCAAGCAAGAGUGGCCUUUGGGAUUCCCUGAGCCACCAGUUUCUGAAACCGUUGGCUUUCCCCUCUCCCAGUACAUUUCCUCAUUCAGGCUGGGGAGCAGGGUGGGGACAUGGAGAGAGCAGUAGGAAGGGUGCUCAGCUAGUCCCCUCACGCUGACUGCAGCUGGAAUGGCUGGGGUGGGGGAAGCAGGCAGAGCUGCACUGUGCUGCGCUGUGGUUAGCUUCCUAGCUCCGGAGCACACAAACCCAGGGCAGUCUGGGCUCUGCCCCCUCCAGCCUGUGGGACCUGGGCAAGGCUGCACCUUUCCGAGCCUUAGUUUCCUCACCCAUAAAAUGGUGAUAGAUUGGCUCUCCUGCUGGUGUAUGUAGGACAGCUUCUCCCAGGUAAGGACUGUAGGUGCCAGGCUGGGCGUGUGGACCCAGUGCUCCAUCCAGGAGGAUGUGCAGAGGCAGCGCAGGCAAUUCAGACAGCCAUCGCACAGGCACAGACCACAAGACCGAGAGAAGCAGUGGCAAGGGGGAGAAUGUGUCCUGGGGUGGGCCGGCCUGGCAGGUGCCACGAAGCUGAUUUCGCUGGUGCAGGAAGUGUCCUUGCACUAUUUCUCCCUCUGUAUGUGUGUGGGGAGAGUGUUUUCCUUCUUCCCAACCCCAGCCAGUAUCAGCCUGUAAUACGAAGCCUUUUCUGUUUCUUCAUUAAUGACCAGAGCACCAAAUUGUCGCUGGAUUGAUCCUGAGAUGUGCCAGCCCCGGGAUUGUGGUGGGGACUCUGAGGCCCCCAGGAGGGCAGAGGCAGGAGGCAGAGACCAGAAAGGGACCCAGAAUCAACCCCCUGAGCUUCCUAACAGCAUGUGGCCUUUGCAAAGCCCCCCUCCAGCAUACCAGGCACUUGGGCAUCCCCCUUGAGAAGUGUGUACAGCCAAGUGGCAGAGGGUGUGGGUGCAAAACCCUCACUGCCUGGGUCCAAAUUCUGUCUCCAUUGCUUUCUGACAACAGGACGUAGAGCAAGUUACUAAAUGCACUGGGCCUCAGUCUUCUCAUCUGCACAGUGGGAUAACAAGAGUGUGCAUAGGGUUGCAGUGAGCACUCAAUGGAUUCAUGCACACGGAAGGGGCUUGGGACAGUACCUGGCAUGGAGCAAGUCCCUAGCAAGGAUGACCUGCAUUGUUUUCUCAGGGCUGCAGGGACGUGGGUGCACACCAUACAUGGUACCUUGCAGAUUUCUUUCCUCUGGCUUAGCUGCCCACCCUUCUUGCCCCAGCUUCCUCUCCUGCUUUCUCCUUCCUUCUCCCACCUACCCUAGGUAUUGGGAGGAUGGUCAGUCCAGACUCUCAGGAUGAGAGGUUGGGAGCGGCCAGCCAUGGGGGAGGGGCUCAGAGCACCCCCUGGUUUUCUUGCAGUUCUGUCCACAGCCCACGGCAGCCUGCUCAACCUGAAGGCCAUGGUGGAGGCUGUCACGGGGAGGAGCGCCAUCCUGUCCUUCGUGGGCUACGGUUGCUACUGUGGGCUGGGGGGCCGUGGCCAGCCCAAGGAUGAGGUGGAUUGGUAGGUACCAGAGGCCUGGGCUCCUGUCAGGGGCCAAAUGAGGACAGCUGAAGGUCAGACUGAUCUUGUCCCCCAUCCCUGAAAAGGGGAGACCUUCUUUCCCCCAAAGGAUUUGGCUUCUUUAAUGAGUUGGUGACCAGAGCCUGGUCUUUGACUAUGUCCUUUCCAAACUGUCUUGAGCCCUUUCUGUUGUCCAUCUCCAUGGUCAUGGGCUUGGAAGUGUUUCAGCCCCUCCUCUCUCUAGGAAGGGACCUUUGACUUGCUCCAAAACACACAUGGGAGAGCAGUCACACAGCUGACACCCCACAAAGGCAAGGGCUGUGACCCCUGCCCGCCUCAGACUGGAGGCUCUGGAAGACAGGACCAUGCCUCCUCCAUUAGACUGGGAGCUCCCAGCAGCCAUGGCUUGUCUUCUGCUCCUGUCUCCCCAACAGCAGCCAGCACCAAGUUUGUAUCACAGAAAGCUAAAUAAACACACAUUGACUAGCUGA
rnacentral:sRNA from 1 species